UCGAACGCGAAAGUCCCGCAAGGGGCAAGUAGAGUGGCGAACGGGUGAGUAAUACGUGGGUGACCUACCUCUGCGUGGGGGAUAACGUCUCGAAAGGGACGCUAAUACCGCAUGACAUCCUGCUUUUUGAUAAGCGGAGAUCAAAGCCGGGGACCGCAAGGCCUGGCGCGUGAUGAGGGGCCCACGUCCGAUUAGCUUGUUGGUGGGGUAAUGGCCUACCAAGGCGACGAUCGGUAGCCGGCCUGAGAGGGCGGACGGCCACACUGGGACUGAGACACGGCCCAGACUCCUACGGGAGGCAGCAGUGGGGAAUUGUUCGCAAUGGGCGCAAGCCUGACGACGCAACGCCGCGUGGAGGAUGAAGAAUUUCGGUUCGUAAACUCCUGUCGAGCGGGACGAACAUCAUCGGGGUGAAUAGCCUCAGUGACUGACGGUACCGCGAGAGGAAGCCCCGGCUAACUCCGUGCCAGCAGCCGCGGUAAUACGGGGGGGGCAAGCGUUGUUCGGAAUUACUGGGCGUAAAGGGCUCGUAGGCGGCCAACUAAGUCGAACGUGAAAUCCCUCAGCUUAACUGGGGAACUGCGUCCGAUACUGAUUGGCUUGAAUCCGGAAGAGGGAUGCGGAAUUCCAGGUGUAGCGGUGAAAUGCGUAGAUAUCUGGAGGAACACCGGUGGCGAAGGCGGCAUCCUGGGUCGG
rnacentral:rRNA from 1 species